rnacentral:rRNA from 1 species
UCGACGAGUUUGAUCAUGGCUCAGAACGAACGCUGGCGGCAGGCCUAACACAUGCAAGUCGAGCGCGCCCUUCGGGGUGAGCGGCGGACGGGUGAGUAACGCGUGGGAACGUACCCUUUGCUACGGAAUAGUCUCGGGAAACUGGGGGUAAUACCGUAUGAGCCCUUCGGGGGAAAGAUUUAUCGGCAAAGGAUCGGCCCGCGUUGGAUUAGGUAGUUGGUGGGGUAAUGGCCCACCAAGCCGACGAUCCAUAGCUGGUUUGAGAGGAUGAUCAGCCACGCUGGGACUGAGACACGGCCCAGACUCCUACGGGAGGCAGCAGUGGGGAAUCUUAGACAAUGGGCGCAAGCCUGAUCUAGCCAUGCCGCGUGAGCGAUGAAGGCCUUAGGGUUGUAAAGCUCUUUCGUGGGGGAAGAUAAUGACUGUACCCCAAGAAGAAGCCCCGGCUAACUCCGUG